rnacentral:misc_RNA from 1 species
GAUGAAGAACGCAGCGAAAUGCGAUACUUGGUGUGAAUUGCAGAAUCCCGUGAACCAUCGAGUUUUUGAACGCAAGUUGCGCCCAAAGCCACUAGGCUGAGGGCACGUCUGCCUGGGCGUCACGCACAGCGUCGCGCUCAACACAAGCAAUGUUUUCGUGUUGAUGAGCGGAAGUUGGCCACCCGAGCUAUCUCAGCUCGGUAGGCCUAAAUGAUGGCCUCGAGCGAUGGGCAUCACGAUCUAUGGUGGUUUAGAACCCCUGUCGUCGUAGACCGGCGUCGUGUUUGCCUCGUUGAAUGCUCGAGCUGUACAAACCCUUGUGUGUUGCAUCUAACACUCACCUUGCGACCCCAGGUCAGGCGGGACUACCCGCUGAGUUUAAGCAUAUCAAUAAGCGGAGGA